rnacentral:RNase_P_RNA from 2 species
CCUAUAAGCCAGAUGAUCGCCCUUAGCAUUAUAAAUGCGAGGGAGGAAAGUCCGAACACCACCUGUUUAUUCAGGUAAGUGGGUAGUCGGUAACGCCGACCGGAAAUUUUGAUGAAAUAGAAGUUCUCGAGACUUCUGUUCCAUUCAGGAUUACUCUAGGGAAAGUGCAACAGAAAUUACACGGCCGAUGGUCCUUGUGACACAGGCAAUGGUGAAAACGUGAGGUAAGAGCUCACGCGUUUCCGUGGCGACACGGAUCUGUGUAAACCCUACCCGGUGCAAGCGCAAGAUUGGUAGCGCGCAUGAGCCAUGUGGCAACACGUGGCCAAGAUAGAUGAUCAUCCCCCCACACCUUUUAAACUUGUUUGUCAU